GACGAACGCUGGCGGCGUGCUUUAGACAUGCAAGUCGAACGAGAUCUUCGGAUCUAGUGGCGAACGGCGGAGUAAUACAUAAACAACGUGCCCUGAAGUCUGGGAUAUACGGUCGAAAGGCCGAGCAAUACCGGAUGUGGCCGAGACUAGGCAUCUAGACUCGAUUAAAUGGUUUUUCGCUUCAGGAGCGGUUUAUGACUCAUCAGCUAGUUGGUAGGGUAAUGGCCUACCAAGGCUACGACGGGUAGGGGGUCUGAGAGGAUGAUCCCCCGAGUGGACUGAGACACGGCCCACACACCGUACGGGUGGCAGCAGUUUGGAAUC
rnacentral:rRNA from 1 species